AACGAACGCUGGCGGCAUGCCUAACACAUGCAAGUCGAACGAGACCUUCGGGUCUAGUGGCGCACGGGUGCGUAACGCGUGGGAAUCUACCCUUGGGUUCGGAAUAACAGUUAGAAAUGACUGCUAAUACCGGAUGAUGACGUAAGUCCAAAGAUUUAUCGCCCAAGGAUGAGCCCGCGUAAGAUUAGCUUGUUGGCGGGGUAAUGGCCUACCAAGGCGACGAUCUUUAGCUGGUCUGAGAGGAUGAUCAGCCACACUGGGACUGAGACACGGCCCAGACUCCUACGGGAGGCAGCAGUGGGGAAUAUUGGACAAUGGGCGAAAGCUUGAUCCAGCAAUGCCGCGUGAGUGAUGAAGGCCUUAGGGUUGUAAAGCUCUUUUACCAGGGAUGAUAAUGACAGUACCUGGAGAAUAAGCUCCGGCUAACUCCGUGCCAGCCGCCGCAGUAA
rnacentral:rRNA from 1 species